rnacentral:pre_miRNA from 1 species
UUCUUCAAAGCGGUUGUGAAAUGUUUCAUUUAAAAUCAUAUCACAGCCAGCUUUGAGGAGCG